CGAUUUGAGAUCAUUCUUACUACAACAGCCAGUUUCUACAGUCUGUGCCUUUUGUUUUCAUUAUGGUCUCAGUUCCCAGCAACACAUAAACACCCAUGAAGAUGAGGGUCAGAAGUUCAAGGUUUCCUUAGCUAUAGCUAAGAAUUGAAAACUAGCAUGAGAUACAUGAGAUAUUUUAUAAUAAUAAUAAUUUUAAAGAGAA